AAAACGGUAAGCAAAAACCUUAGAUGCACGAGUCUCCUAGCUUCUCCAACCUUCAGUGGAUUUGUUCAUGGGAUUGGAACAGCCCGUAUUCCAAAAGAGCUUCUUGUUUGAAAAUCAAACUGCAAUAUUAGGACAUUGCUUAGAGCUUACUCUUAAUGUUACAAGUUCUCCAUUUCUUCCAACUGAAGACCAAACGUCCAAUGUAUGCUGAAUUUGGACACUCCUCAAG